rnacentral:rRNA from 1 species
GACGAACGCUGGCGGCGUGCCUAAUACAUGCAAGUGGGACGCAAGGAAACACACUGUGCUUGCACACCGUGUUUUCUUGAGUCGCGAACGGGUGAGUAACGCGUAGGUAACCUGCCUAUUAGCGGGGGAUAACUAUUGGAAACGAUAGCUAAUACCGCAUAAUAUUAAUUAUUGCAUGAUAAUUGAUUGAAAGAUGCAAGCGCAUCACUAGUAGAUGGACCUGCGUUGUAUUAGCUAGUUGGUAAGGUAAGAGCUUACCAAGGCGACGAUACAUAGCCGACCUGAGAGGGUGAUCGGCCACACUGGGACUGAGACACGGCCCAGACUCCUACGGGAGGCAGCAGUAGGGAAUCUUCGGCAAUGGACGAAAGUCUGACCGAGAAACGCCGCGUGAGUGAAGAAGGGUUUCGGAUCGUAAAGCUCUGUUGUAAGUCAAGAACGUGUGUGAGAGUGGAAAGUUCACACAGUGACGGUAGCUUACCAGAAAGGGACGGCUAACUACGUG